rnacentral:rRNA from 1 species
GAUGAACGCUGGCGGCGUGCCUAAUACAUGCAAGUCGAGCGAACAGACGAGGAGCUUGCUCCUCUGACGUUAGCGGCGGACGGGUGAGUAACACGUGGAUAACCUACCUAUAAGACUGGGAUAACUUCGGGAAACCGGAGCUAAUACCGGAUAAUAUAUUGAACCGCAUGGUUCAAUAGUGAAAGACGGUUUUGCUGUCACUUAUAGAUGGUUCCGCGCCGCAUUAGCUAGUUGGUAAGGUAACGGCUUACCAAGGCAACGAUGCGUAGCCGACCUGAGAGGGUGAUCGGCCACACUGGAACUGAGACACGGUCCAGACUCCUACGGGAGGCAGCAGUAGGGAAUCUUCCGCAAUGGGCGAAAGCCUGACGGAGCAACGCCGCGUGAGUGAUGAAGGUCUUCGGAUCGUAAAGCUCUGUUAUUAGGGAAGAACAAAUGUGUAAGUAACUAUGCACGUCUUGACGGUACCUAAUCAGAAAGCCACGGCUAACUACGUG